rnacentral:rRNA from 1 species
UACGAAGGGGGCUAGCGUUGCUCGGAAUCACUGGGCGUAAAGCGCACGUAGGCGGCUUUUUAAGUCAGGGGUGAAAUCCUGGAGCUCAACUCCAGAACUGCCUUUGAUACUGGGGAGCUCGAGUCCGGUAGGGGAGUGUGGAAUUCCUGGUGUAGCGGUGAAAUGCGCAGAUAUCAGGAGGAACACCGGCGGCGAAGGCGGCACUCUGGGCCGGUACUGACGCUGAGGAGCGAAAGCGUGGGUAGCAAACAGG